UGGCCAAGGGCGGGGGCCACAGGGAGGCAGGGCGGGCCCCGCAAGCGGCGCCGCGGGGUUGGCUGCUUCCCUGAGGCCGGACUCAACGGGUCUCGGCUGAACCACCGGGUGAGCUCACCGCCCAGCCCCAACCAGGAGAUUGCGAGGGAGCGAUGCGGUGCCGCGCGUGUUCUUGGGGAAGAUCCCGACUAAGCCAUUUUCCAGUGGCACCUCUUCCACCAUGAGUUCCUGAGGCAGUCUGAUGGGGCUACUUUAUUCCAGAACAAUCACAGUGAGACCUUUUCUCCCGAUAAAUGCUGCUUUUCUCUGCUUAAUAUAUUCUCUUGCUUACAAAA